CUGUGUGCGCGCUCCGCUCCAGCCCGCGCGGCUCCCGCGCCCCGCGCGCUGCGCCAGCCUCGCCAGCUGUCGGGCGGCCUUCAUUCCGGGAGGGGGCGGGCGAGGCGCCGCCUCGAGCCGUGGCGCUCAUUGGCUGCAGACCAGAGCCCCCCGGCGCCUCGGGCGCCGCUCCGGACGCUGAUUGGUGGGAACACGGGGAGGGGGCGUGUUCUCCGCGCAGCUGGGAGGAGUCUGGAAUGAAACAGAUGGAAACAGCCAGUCUGUGAACGUUUCUUCAGGUAUCCGGCAGAGAUUUCUCACCCUUAAAUAAAAGGGCACGCAGUGGCAUGGAACCACGCUGACACCUAUCACUGUUAAACGAGGCCAGGACACAGUCUGAUCUCCAUCUCCACUUUUUGUUGUUGUUAAAUGAAACGGAAGAGCAUCUCCCUGCAGAAGUAAACCACGCACAGAGCCCUAAUGACAUCAUUGCUUCAGCCCCUGGAUCCAGCCAGGCCUGAAGCAGGAUAACCCUGGACUUCCCAGUGAGCACACAGCUCACCUCGGAGCUCUGCCUGUCCAGAUGGCCUGAUCCUCAUGUCCCCACCUGGCCUGCUGACUCCCUCCUGGCUGAAGGGUGGAAAUGAAUCCUUGUACGGAAUAAGCCUCUCCGGCCCGACCUGGGAAUGAGUAACAGCUUAGCUGGUGACCUUUGCCCUGGGACGACAGCUCUGGACAGCUGCAGGAGGCUUCGUUGGGAUGGGGGUGGCCCAUUGUGGGGUGCCUGGCAGGAGUCUCUGAGCCAUGUCUUUAGAAGGUACGAGUGCAGGACACAGUUCUUUUGUGGUCUGAGAUCUGUGCUUAGGCAGAGAACUGUGUCCAGAGAGUCAGGCUGUAAAGUGGGGAGCCUCCCGUGAGGGCUGCAGCAUUCCCGUGCAGAUCCCUAAUUUCCAAUCUGGACUCUAGAAGACUUUGGUUCUCUUCCUGGCUCUGGCCUCUGCUGGGACCCUGGAGGUGUCUCCUUUCUCCUUCAAGUUUUUCAUCAGCAAUGCCAGGAUUUGGUAAUGACAUGAGUCCCUCCUGGCUCAGAUAGCCCAGCAUCACUGUCACCCUGGGAUCCCUUUGCUGACAUCCCAGUCCCAGACCAGUAACUGCAGCUCAGAGUACCUGAGGCUCCCCAGCUGUUUCCACGGCUUCCCUGUGCCUCAACCCUUAUGACCUUGUUAUUCCCCAGAAAUUCUGCAGCAUGGCAGGCUGGGCUCCCCGCUCCCUGGGGGAGCCUUGUGCUGUGUCACUUCCUCAGACCCCUGCCUGAGCCUGUCCCCUUGUGGGGGACCAGAGUGUAUACCUCACCUGAGCUAGCUUUCUGUUGCUGCUAUACAUAUUACCACAAACUUAGUGGCUUAGAACCCCACACUGUAUUAUCUUACAGUUCUGGAGGGUCAGAAGUUUGACACAAGUCUCACUGGCCUAAAACCAAGGUGCUGGCAGGUCUGACUCCUUCUGAAGGCUCUAGGGGUAUAUUAGUCUAUUCUCAUGCUGCUUAUAAAGACAUACCCGAGACUGGGUAAUUUAUAAAGAAAAAGAGGUUUAAUGGACUCGCAGUUCCAUAUGGCUGGGGAGGCCUCACAAUUAUGGUGGAAGGCAAAGGAAGAGCAAAGGGAUGUCUUACAUGGCAACAGGCAAGAGAACUUGUACAGGGGAACUCCCAUUUAUAAAACCAUCAGAUCUUGUGAGACUUAUUCACUACCAUGAGAACAGCAUGGGAAAGGCCCACCCCCAUGAUUCAAUUACCUCCCACUGGGUCCUUCCCACGACAUGCGGGGAUUAUGGGAGCUACAAUUCAAGAUGAGAUUUGGAUGGGGACAUAGCCAGUCCAUAUCAAGGGGAGAACCCACUUCCUUGCCUUUUCCAACUUCUAGAGGCUGCCUGCAUUCCUUGGCUCAUGGCCCUUUCCUCCAUCUUCAAAGCCAGCUUUGGGGCUCUGUCACCCUUCUUGUAUUGCAUUUCUAACCCACUCUGCCACCUCCUCCACUUCUAAGGACUCAUGGGUUAGGUUGGGCCCAUCUGGAUAAUGCCACAUAAUCUCCUCAUUUCAAAGCCUUAACUUUCUUCACAUCUGCAAGUCCUGUGAUCAUGUAAGGACACCUUUUCAUGGGUUCUAGGGAUUAGGCUGGGGAUAGUUUUGCCGGGAGCAUUCUUCUGCCUACCACCCCACCCAAUCUGAGGCUUGGGGUUUGCGCAGGGCACCAUGAUAGUUUUCCUCUGGGGUCUCAGCUCAGGUGCUAGAAGGGCACCUCCUCUCUGGAACCCUCUGUGAUUGCACCAGGCAGAGGCAACUGCCCUUCCUCUGGCAACCACCACCCCCAGCACACUUGUCAUGCUUGUGUGACAGUGCCUGUGGGUAGGUCUCCCCUGUUAAUUGGGAACAAGUGGGUAGUGUCAGGCCUCUGAGCCCAAGCUAAGCCAUCAUAUCCCCUGUGACCAGCAUGUAUACAUCCAGAUGGCCUGAAGCAACUGAAGAUCUACAAAAGAAGUGAAAAUAGCCUUAACUGAUGACAUUCCACCAUUGUGAUUUGUUUCUGCCCCACCCUAACUGAUCAAUGUACUUUGUAAUCUCCCCCACCCUUAAGAGGGUUCUUUGUAAUUCUCCCCACCCUUGAGAAUGUACUUUGUGAGAGCCACCCUCUGCCCGAAAAACAUUGCUCCUAACUCCACCGCCUAUCCCAAAACCUAUAAGAACUAAUGAUAAUCCCACCACCCUUUGCUGACUCCUUUUUCGGACUCAGCCCCCCCGCACCCAGGUGAAAUAAACAGCCUUGUUGCUCG
rnacentral:lncRNA from 1 species